AAGUCGAACGCACAGCGAAAGGUGCUUGCACCUUUCAAGUGAGUGGCGAACGGGUGAGUAACACGUGGACAACCUGCCUCAAGGCUGGGGAUAACAUUUGGAAACAGAUGCUAAUACCGAAUAAAACUUAGUAUCGCAUGAUACCAGGUUAAAAGGCGCUACGGCGUCACCUAGAGAUGGAUCCGCGGUGCAUUAGUUAGUUGGUGGGGUAAAGGCCUACCAAGACAAUGAUGCAUAGCCGAGUUGAGAGACUGAUCGGCCACAUUGGGACUGAGACACGGCCCAAACUCCUACGGGAGGCUGCAGUAGGGAAUCUUCCACAAUGGGCGAAAGCCUGAUGGAGCAACGCCGCGUGUGUGAUGAAGGCUUUCGGGUCGUAAAGCACUGUUGUAUGGGAAGAAAAGUUAAGGUAGGGAAUGACCUUAGCCUGACGGUACCAUACCAGAAAGGGACGGCUAAAUACGUGCCAGCAGCCGCGGUAAUACGUAUGUCCCGAGCGUUAUCCGGAUUUAUUGGGCGUAAAGCGAGCGCAGACGGUUGGUUAAGUCUGAUGUGAAAGCCCGGAGCUCAACUCCGGAAAGGCAUUGGAAACUGGUCAACUUGAGUGCAGUAGAGGUAAGUGGAACUCCAUGUGUAGCGGUGGAAUGCGUAGAUAUAUGGAAGAACACCAGCGGCGAAGGCGGCUUACUGGACUGUAACUGACGUUGAGGCUCGAAAGUGUGGGUAGCAAACAGGAUUAGAUACCCUGGUAGUCCACACCGUAAACGAUGAACACUAGGUGUUAGGAGGUUUCCGCCUCUUAGUGCCGAAGCUAACGCAUUAAGUGUUCCGCCUGGGGAGUACGACCGCAAGGUUGAAACUCAAGGAAUUGACGGGGACCC
rnacentral:rRNA from 1 species